AACUUUCAGCAACGGAUCACUGGCUGUCUCGAACACGAUCGGAAUUGCGGCAGUCGCCGCCUUUGCCGCCACUGACGAUGGACUACCGCCCGCCGCAAUCACGGCGACCUGACGGUGAACCAAUUCGGCCGCGAGCACUGGCAGUCGAUCGUCGAGGUCCGCCGCCCAGCGAUAUUCGAUAACCACGUUCUGGCCAUCGAUAUAUCCUUCCUCUUUCAGCCCCUGAGCGAACGCGCGCAGACGGGGCGCGUAGACCUGAGGCGAUGUACUGCUGAGGAAGCCGAUCACCGGCAUAGCGCGCUGCUGCGCGCGCGCGGCGAGUGGCCAUGUCGCCGCCGUGCCACCGAGAAGCGUGACGAACUCGCGUCGCUUCAUGAUCGCGCCCCCUUAAGCAUAUCAAUAAGCGGAGGCU
rnacentral:misc_RNA from 1 species